rnacentral:rRNA from 1 species
UGGGGAAUAUUGCGCAAUGGGCGAAAGCCUGACGCAGCAACACCGCGUGAGGGAUGACGGCCUUCGGGUUGUAAACCUCUUUCAGCUCCGACGAAGCGAAAGUGACGGUAGGAGCAGAAGAAGCACCGGCUAACUACGUGCCAGCAGCCGCGGUAAUACGUAGGGUGCAAGCGUUGUCCGGAAUUAUUGGGCGUAAAGAGCUCGUAGGCGGUCCGUUGCGUCUGCCGUGAAAACCCGGAGCUCAACUCCGGGCCUGCGGUGGAUACGGGCGGACUAGAGUCCGGUAGGGGAGACUGGAAUUCCUGGUGUAGCGGUGAAAUGCGUAGAUAUCAGGAGGAACACCAGUGGCGAAGGCGGCUACCUGGACCGGUUCUGACGCUGAGGUGCGAAAGUGUGGGG